rnacentral:rRNA from 1 species
CCUACGGGUGGCUGCAGUAGGGAAUAUUGCUCAAUGGGGGAAACCCUGAAGCAGCCACGCCGCGUGUAUGAUGAAGGUUUUCGGAUUGUAAACUCCUUUUGUUCGGGAGGAUUAUGUCGGUGUCUAACGAAUUAGCACCGGCUAACUCCGUCCCAGCAGCCGCGGUAAUACGGAGGGUGCACGCGUUACUCGGAAUCACUGGGCGUAAAGUGUGCGUAGGCGGGGUAAUAAGUCAGAUGUGAAAUCCUGUAGCUUAACUACAGAAUUGCAUUUGAAACUGUUACUCUGGAGUGUGGGAGAGGGAGGUGGAAUGCUUGGUGUAGGGGUAAAAUCCGUAGAGAUCAAGAGGAAUACUCAUUGCGAAGGCGACCUGCUGGAACAUUACUGACGCUGAUGUACGAAAGCGUGGGGAGCAAACAGGAUUAGAUACCCCUGUAGUC